rnacentral:rRNA from 1 species
GUCGAACGGAGUUUAAAUCAGUAGUUUACUACAGAUUUAAACUUAGUGGCGGACGGGUGAGUAACACGUGGGCAACCUGCCCUAAAGAGGGGGAUAACACCGAGAAAUCGGUGCUAAUACCGCAUGACAUUAGAGCUUCGCAUGGAGCUUUAAUCAAAGGAGCAAUCCGCUUUAGGAUGGGCCCGCGUCUGAUUAGCUAGUUGGUGAGGUAGAGGCUCACCAAGGCGACGAUCAGUAGCCGAUCUGAGAGGAUGACCGGCCACACUGGAACUGAGACACGGUCCAGACUCCUACGGGAGGCAGCAGUGGGGAAUAUUGCACAAUGGGGGAAACCCUGAUGCAGCAACGCCGCGUGGAGGAAGAAGGUUUUCGGAUUGUAAACUCCUGUCUUUUGGGACGAUAAUGACGGUACCAAAAGAGGAAGCCACGGCUAACUACGUGCCAGCAGCCGCGGUAAUACGUAGGUGGCGAGCGUUGUCCGGAAUUACUGGGCGUAAAGGGCGCGUAGGCGGCCUGUUAAGUCAGAUGUGAAAACCCCAGGCUCAACCUGGGGACUGCAUAUGAAACUGAUGGGCUAGAGUGUCGGAGAGGGAAGCGGAAUUCCUAGUGUAGCGGUGAAAUGCGUAGAUAUUAGGAGGAACACCAGUGGCGAAGGCGGCUUUCUGGACGAUAACUGACGCUGAGGCGCGAAAGCGUGGGGAGCAAACAGGAUUAGAUACCCUGGUAGUCCACGCUGUAAACGAUGGAUACUAGGUGUGGGAGGUAUCGACCCCUUCCGUGCCGCAGUAAACGCAAUAAGUAUCCCGCCUGGGGAGUACGGGCCGCAGGUUGAAACUCAAAGGAAUUUGACGGGGGCCCGCACAAGCAGCGG